ACGCUGGCGGCACGCCUAACACAUGCAAGUCGAACGCAGUAGCAAUACUGAGUGGCAAACGGGUGAGUAUAAUGUGGGAAUCUGCCUUUUGGUUUGGAAUAACACGGGGAAACUUGUGCUAAUACCGAAUAAGCCCUUACGGGGAAAGUUUUAAUGCCGAAAGAUGAGCCCGCACUUGAUUAGCUAGUUGGUAAGGUAAAAGCUUACCAAGGCAACGAUCAAUAGCUGAUUUGAGAGGAUGAUCAGCCACAUUGGGACUGAGACACGGCCCAAACUCCUACGGGAGGCAGCAGUGGGGAAUCUUGCACAAUGGAGGAAACUCUGAUGCAGCGAUGCCGCGUGAGUGAAGAAGGCCCUUGGGUUGUAAAGCUCUUUCGUCGGGGAAGAAAAUGACUGUACCCGAAUAAGAAGGUCCGGCUAACUUCGUGCCAGCAGCCGCGGUAAUACGAAGGGACCUAGCGUAGUUCGGAAUUACUGGGCUUAAAGAGUUCGUAGGUGGUUGAAAAAGUUAGUGGUGAAAUCCCAGAGCUUAACUCUGGAACUGCCAUUAAAACUUUUCAGCUAGAGUAUGAUAGAGGAAAGCAGAAUUUCUAGUGUAGAGGUGAAAUUCGUAGAUAUUAGAAAGAAUACCAAUUGCGAAGGCAGCUUUCUGGAUCAUUACUGACACUGAGGAACGAAAGCAUGGGUAGCGAAGAGGAUUAGAUACCCUCGUAGUCCAUGCCGUAAACGAUGUGUGUUAGACGUUGGAAAUUUAUUUUCAGUGUCGCAGGGAAACCGAUAAACACGCCGCCUGGGGAGUACGACCGCAAGGUUAAAACUCAAAUGAAUUGACGGGGACCCGCACAAGUAGUGGAGCAUGUGGUUUAAUUCGAAGAUACGCGCAGAACCUUACCAACACUUGACAUGUUCGUCGCGACUCUAAGAGAUUAGAGUUUUCGGUUCGGCCGGACGAAACACAGGUGCUGCAUGGCUGUCGUCAGCUCGUGUCGUGAGAUGUUGGGUUAAGUCCCGCAACGAGCGCAACCCUCACUUUUAGUUGCCAUCAUUAAGUUGGGCACUCUGAAAGAACUGCCAGUGAUAAGCUGGAGGAAGGUGGGGAUGACGUCAAGUCCUCAUGGCCCUUACGUGUUGGGCUACACACGUGCUACAAUGGUAUCUACAACAGGAAGCAAGACUGCGAAGUUAAGCAAAUCCCUAAAAGAUACCUCAGUUCGGAUUGCACUCUGCAACUCGAGUGCAUGAAGCUGGAAUUACUAGUAAUCGUGGAUCAGCGUGCCACGGUGAAUGCGUUCCCGGGUCUUGUACACACCGCC
rnacentral:rRNA from 1 species